rnacentral:lncRNA from 10 species
CAAGUCGCAGCCAUACAUUAUCUGGAGGGUGUUAGACCCUGGCCCCGCCCCCGCGGUCAGCCCCGCCCACCGAGCCCCGCCCCCGCCCCGACCAACCCGCGGGGAUUUUGGCCUAAACGGAAAAUGAAACCUGGUAAAGGCGCCUGGGCCUCUCCCGGGUCGAGGAUCUGGCGGGUCCCGCAGCCUCGGGGUGGAUCUUGGAGCCGGAGACUCGCGGGGGGGACCCGGGACGUCCGUGGGGGAUGAGGAGGGGUCGUGACCUUCGCCCCAGGCCGGGGUCAUUCACCGGCCUAGCUCUGGUGGUAGUAGCGGCGCGGCAUGGGCAGGUUCACUCUUGUCAGUCUGUGCGCGGGCCUGAUGUUCCGUGUGCUCCGGUCCCAAUACUCCGGUCCCUCCUGCUCCAACCACGGCGACUGCGGCUACAUCCUCGGAGUCGCCGCGUCGCUGUCGAACCGCACGAACUGCGUGUCGUCCACGUAGCCCACUGCGAUGUACCGGGGCUCCCCGCGACCCGGCCGGGACACGGCGGUGCUGAAAUACCUUAUGGAGUGGGUACCUGGGGGCGAGGAGGGGCUGAGACCCGUCCGACCCUCCUCCUUGCGCUGCUCCCCGGGUCCUGCGCCCCAGUGCGCGGGCCCCUACCUCCUCCCCGCAGAGGCCAUUUCCCUCCGGAUCCCGCACUCACCCGCCCAGGUCUCGGUCAGGGCCAGGGCCCCCAAGAGCAGCAGGAGGAGGGUUCGGGACGCCAUGACCCCAUCCUCGGCGUCUGGGGAGAAUCUGAGUCCCAAUGGGUUCGCGGGGACUUCUGGAACAGGGACCCCAGCGACGCCGAUUGGCUUCGCUAGAAACCCGACACCAAAUGGGGGUGAGAACUGAGUCCACAUCCUGAGUGUCCAGGAAGAAGGACCCUACAUAAGUUGGGAGAGGGAGAAGAGAAACUGCGGAGAUGGGGAAUCCCCAACCCUGGGCCUCCCCAAUCAAUACAUCGCCUUCGGGGCCUGAAACCCUGAGAGCCACGCCUGGGGCCAUAGGACUUCGCCCUGACCCCGCUCCUCCUGUGCCAAGCGCUCUGUCUCAAUGUCUCCCUGAGUCUUGGCCCAAGAGCUGUCUGAGAAACCAGGGAGAAACCCUCGUCAUGGGCCCCGUCCCUCUUCAUUUUUCAUCCCGGAAUCCCCGUCCCAGAACUGGACUCCCUGCCUCCCACUCCUUACCUAUUUCCCUGAACUCUUCUAGAAAAAAACUCACCCCAGGGAGCUUGGUGACAGAGAGGGAGCUCGCCGCCAGAGAGGGAGCUCGCCGCCAGAGAGGGAGCUCGAUGCCAGAGAGGGAGCUCGCCCUGGGAAUGGAGGCGUAGAGACAGGUUUUUGUUUUUUUUUUCUUUAAAUCCGGAAAAGUUGUGCCUGAGUACAUGAGACAGCAUAGAGACAAGUUUUCUCUUUGUUUAUUAACUACAGUGGGUAGCAGAAUCUUGGCAACCCCUAAAUGAUCAGGUAUCUAAUCGGUAAAAAAAUGUAACUUUGGCCCCUUGAUACAUAAAUGUGUCUGAAAGCAUUACAACAGGACUCACAAAGCUACUAAGUUUGACUUUCGCAGACAAUGUAUCUGUGACUCCCGCUUGUUUUUUACAUUUACCUUCAUUCCACAGCCCUGAGUUACUGGGUGAGUCCAAGACAUCUCCUCAAUAUAAAGUAGCACACUGCGUUACUAUAUGUUGCAACCGGGAGCCAGUACAGACUUUAUUCACCUCACAGUUGCAAGUGUUCAAUGCAGUCACAAUGCCCCUCAGCAGUGCUCAUGUGCUGCCUGUUUUUAGGAAGUAUUCACGUCUAAGUGGUGUGUAUAUCUUAUAGGAACACUUAGUAUUUUUAAAACCUGAUUAAUUAAAAAAAAUUAGUUUCUAGGCAGUCCCAAAUAUAGUAUUAAAGGCCAACUGCAAAGAAGGAACACUAAGUGUUUUUUAAACCUUAUUAACAUAAAAAACAUUAGUUUUUAGGCAGUCCUACAUUAGGUAUUAAAGGCCAACUGCAAAGAACACUGAGCGAGGCUCUGUAGAUGGAUGUAAUAAAAAUCUAUAAAACAAUGUGUUUAAACCUAAGAAUUCUACUGCUUUCCAAUUCCUUCCCUCUGCUCCUUUUCCUAACCUCCUGCUUCUCCAGCCCUUCCCUCUGUCCCUUUCAUCCCUCAGGCCCUCCUCUCCCCUUAGUCCCCACCACCCUGUCACUUCUAAAUUGUGGCUCUAGCAUUGUCCCAUUACCUGCUACGUGACUGUUCUCUCCACAGUGGUCCUGCUCCUGUGAGUCAGAGUGUGUCAUUUCCUCACCUAAAACACUCCAGUGGCUCCACCUCGGUCUUGUGAAGCUUCUAGAAUGUCAGGCACGUGAGCAUAUGAGGGCAUACCUGGUUCAUCUUAGGCACUAAAUUUUUGUUGACUGAAUGAAUGAAAUAUGAAUGUAUUAAAUUGCAUCACAGAAAGUUAUAAAAUGUAAAACACUGAAAAAUUAAGAAAUAUUUUAUUUUAUGUAACUAGUGUGCAUAUCAAUUCAUUCCGAGUCUGUUGAGCCUGUGUAUGAAUUUUAUAAGAUUGCAUAACAAAUUAUCACAAACAUUGACUUUAAACAACACC